rnacentral:lncRNA from 1 species
ACACACACACACACACACACUGACACAUACUCAAAGAAGACUCCAGUCACACAUACACGCACACACAUACAUAGAUACACAGAAACUGAAAGCAAGAAUGAAGAGUAAAAGAGAGAGAGAGGGAGAUAGUGAGAGACAGAGCUGAAAGAGAGAGUGAGUGACAGACAGAAUAAACAAGUUAAAGAGAGCGGGAGAGAUAAAGCGAAUCAAAGCAAUAGAGCGAAUGAGAAAGAAAGUGAGAACGAAGAAAUAUGAGAGAGUGAAAGAGAGAGAGGAAUGCGCACGGCAGGUCCGUUGCAACAGCAACUAAAGUGUUCCUCGAUUGAGGACGAGACGAGUGGGGAAGACAAAAUAAGCGACUGGCUGUUUGCCAGAUGUUAGUCUCCGACCAGGAUAACAGGCGAUGCUUCCCCGAGUCCAGGAAUCGCCAAGAACUGCCAGACUUCUUCCGUUGAUUCUCUCACGACAGGAAGAAAAGGAAGUACAAUUAAUAAGUCGGUAAUAAGAGAAAAAAAAGAGAGCAAGAAAGAGAGAGAAAGAAAGGACGAAAGAAGGAACGAAAGAAAGAGAGUUUGAAAGAAAAAGCGUGUGUGUGAGAGAGAGAGAGUGAGAGGGAAAGAACGCGAGACAGAAAGACAGCUUUUAAAUCUAAUAUAAACACGUAGAUUUAUCUGGAGAUAAAAAAAAAACGAGAAUUAUUUACAUAUAUACAUCUAACACACACACACACAUACAUACACAUAUAUAUGCAUAUUAUAUAAAUAUAUAAAUUUGCUAUCCCAUAGCAUAUACAACACAACCAUCAUACAUACCUUAACGUAUACAUACUCAAAGAAAGGAAAUAAGCAUACACAAUCGCACGCAUUUAUACAUACGCAAAUAUACACAUAUAACAAAUAAUAAAAGUGAUCAUACACACACACAAAAAAGCGUAAAUACAGAUAUUAUAUAUACAUAUAUAUAUAUAUUUCUGUACACGUAAUCAUGUGUGUAUAUAAUAUAUACACAAAGGUAUAAAUCCUAUUAAAAAAAAAAGAAAAAAAAAAAGAAAAGAAAAAGAUAUAACCUUUGUCCAUUCUGUAACGUUUAUAAUUCUUCAUUUUGGAAAUAUAUUUUACCAUUUAUUGUGGAGGUCGGAACACCUUUUUCCCCAAAACGCAAGGU